rnacentral:rRNA from 1 species
ACUCCUACGGGAGGCAGCAGUGGGGAAUAUUGCACAAUGGGGGAAACCCUGAUGCAGCCAUGCCGCGUGUGUGAAGAAGGCCUUCGGGUUGUAAAGCACUUUCAGUAGGGAGGAAGGUAGUNUAGUUACAUACCUGCANAUUUUGACGUUACCUACAGAAGAGCAACCGGCUAACUCCGGUGCCAGCAGCCGCGGUAAUACGGAGGGUGCGAGCGUUAAUCGGAAUUACUGGGCGUAAAGCGCAUGCAGGCGGCCUGUUAAGUCAGAUGUGAAAGCCCGGGGCUUAACCUCGGAAUUGCAUUUGAAACUGGCGGCUAGAGUCUUGUAGAGGGGGGUAGAAUUUCAGGUGUAGCGGUGAAAUGCGUAGAGAUCUGAAGGAAUACCAGUGGCGAAGGCGGCCCCCCUGGACAAAGACUGACGCUCAGAUGCGAAAGCGUGGGGAGCAAACAGGAUUAGAUACCCUGGUAGGCUCU